rnacentral:rRNA from 1 species
ACUCCGAAAUGGCAUUGGAAACUACCUUGCUCGAGGGUUGGAGGGGGGACUGGAAUGCUUGGUGUAGCAGUGAAAUGCGUAGAUAUCAAGUGGAACACCAGUGGCGAAGGCGAGUCCCUGGACAACUCCUGACACUGAGGCACGAAAGCUAAGGGAGCAAACAGGAUUAGAUACCCUGGUAGUCCUAGCCGUAAACGGUGCACGUUUGCUGUAAAAGGAAUCGACCCCUUUUGUGGCGUAGCCAACGCGUUAAACGUGCCGCCUGGGAAGUACGGUCGCAAGAUUAAAACUCAAAGAAAUUGACGGGGGCCUGCACAAGCGGUGGAGUAUGUGGCUCAAUUCGAUGCAACGCGAAGAACCUUACCUGGCCUUGACAUGCAAGUAGUAGAAGGGUGAAAGCCCGACGAGGUAG